CUGUCCCAGUCUGCCCUCCCCUUCUCUUCUAUACUGUAGGUUAUAUAGAGUGGUGUGGUAACUGUUAUAUACUGUAGGUUAUAUAGAGUGGUGUGGUAACUGUUAUAUACUGUAGGUUACAUAGAGUGGUAACUGUUAUAUACUGUAGGUUAUAUAGAGUGGUGUGGUAACUGUUAUAUACUGUAGGUUACAUAGAGUGGUAACUGUUAUAUACUGUAGGUUACAGAGUGGUGUGGUAACUGUUAUAUAUUGUAGGUUAUAUAGAGUGGUGUGGUAACUGUUAUAUACUGUAGGUUACAUAGAGUGGUAACUGUUAUAUACUGUAGGUUAUAUAGAGUGGUGUGGUAACUGUUAUAUACUGUAGGUUACAUAGAGUGGUAACUGUUAUAUACUGUAGGUUAGAUGGUGUGGUAACUGUUAUAUACUGUAGGUUACAUAGAGUGGUAACUGUUAUAUACUGUAGGUUAUAUAGAGUGGUAACUGUUAUAUACUGUAGGUUACAGAGUGGUGUGGUAACUGUUAUAUACUGUAGGUUAUAUAGAGUGGUGUGGUAACUGUUAUAUACUGUAGGUUAUAUAGAGUGGUGUGGUAACUGUUAUAUACUGUAGGUUACAGAGUGGUGUGGUAACUGUUAUAUACUGUAGGUUAUAUAGAGUGGUGUGGUAACUGUUAUAUACUGUAGGUUAUAUAGAGUGGUGUGGUAACUGUUAUAUACUGUAGGUUAUACAGAGUCGUAUGGUAACUGUUAUAUACUGUAGGUUAUACAGAGUCGUA